rnacentral:lncRNA from 1 species
AAAGUGGCAGAAGCUUUUUCUCAUCUAUUUCCAGGUUGCUGCCAGGGUAUGACCUCUCACCGCCUGGCAGAAAUCCCUAACGAGGGCUGAAUUGGCUAUGUCUCAUUCUGAUGAAUAAUGGGUCUCGUCACCCCUCAGUGCCCUCCAGAUUUACUCACAGGUCCCCGGGGACGUCGCCAGCAAAUAAAUCCCCUGACCUGCUGCAGGAUCCUUUCCCCCCGCCGAGGCCCUUCCCGGGGCUCCCCGCCAAUUUCUUAGCUGGGCUGCCUCAGCCUCAACCAAUCUGGAUGCCAAACCCAAAAUACCCUCAGUCCGCCAGAUGCGUAUCUCCACCAGCCAGAUUUCUAGAUGCCGUGGUCUAUCGUUGGCAGAGCUGCUAUCCUGAAUAG